UACACUCCUGCGGGAGGCAGCAGUGGGGAAUAUUGGACAAUGGGCGCAAGCCUGAUCCAGCCAUGCCGCGUGAGUGAUGAAGGCCCUAGGGUUGUAAAGCUCUUUCACCGGUGAAGAUAAUGACGGUAACCGGAGAAGAAGCCCCGGCUAACUUCGUGCCAGCAGCCGCGGUAAUACGAAGGGGGCUAGCGUUGUUCGGAUUUACUGGGCGUAAAGCGCACGUAGGCGGACUAUUAAGUCAGGGGUGAAAUCCCGGGGCUCAACCCCGGAACUGCCUUUGAUACUGGUAGUCUUGAGUUCGAGAGAGGUGAGUGGAAUUCCGAGUGUAGAGGCGAAAUUCGUAGAUAUUCGGAGGAACACCAGUGGCGAAGGCGGCUCACUGGCUCGAUACUGACGCUGAGGUGCGAAAGCGUGGGGAGCAAACAGGAUUAGAUACCCCAGUAGUCCCA
rnacentral:rRNA from 1 species